UACGUAGGGACCAAGCGUUGUUCGGAUUUACUGGGCGUAAAGGGCGCGUAGGCGGCGCGGUAAGUCACUUGUGAAAUCUCUGAGCUUAACUCAGAACGGCCAAGUGAUACUGCAGUGCUAGAGUGUGGGAGAGGGAUGCGGAAUUCCAGGUGUAGCGGUGAAAUGCGUAGAUAUCUGGAGGAACACCGGUGGCGAAGGCGGCAUCCUGGGCCACGACUGACGCUGAGUGAGCGAAAGCCAGGGGAGCAAACGGG
rnacentral:rRNA from 1 species